UUUUUGUUGUUUGUUUUUUGCAUGCUAAAAAGAGCUACAAAAGUAGCCUAGUUUGUCUGAUAAAAAGGGCAGGAUUUGAGAGCAAAUAAAUAGAGGACUGGGACUAAGGGGAACAGACACACUCAGAGAAGCUCAGUGUUGCGGCAUGGAGACAUUGAUUUCUUUAACCAAGACCGAGCUAAUGGAAACUCUUCAAAAUACACUUGCUGAUGUUCUCACGGAGAAAAUAAGUAAAUUUGUAGAAGAUGAAUUACAAUUAUAUACAAUGGACCAGGCCCGGACGCCCUUCAAACGGCUGCUUAAACACCUAGUCAAAUGCUUGGUGGGAUGGGCCCUACAAAAGAUAGGUUCCGUGGCAUGGAACCACCUGGGCCUGAGUUCUUUACAGAAUAAGACCUUGUAUAUAUUUAAGGUGAUGUUUGGUCACAAACAAUCUGAAGUCUUUACGGUUUAAUCUCCAUUUAUCUACCACUUCAGUAUUUUUGCUAUUUUUGCGAAAUCUUACACGUUUUUAUGUUAAAAGAUUUAUUCCAGUGGGAUCUUUAUGAUCAGGAUUUAUGAUUUACACAUCCCAACUCUGCCUGCCUAACCAACAAGACUGAUUUGAACCUGGAGAGACAUCACUGACAUGAUGGUAACAGUGCUCAGGACAAAGAUUACGAGCUUGCCUUCCUGUACUUGUUCCUCCACUGCAGGAACCAGGACAAAUAUAGAAACCGAAAGUUUGCUGUUAUCAACACCGCACGAAAAUUACCUUCCUGCCUGUGUGCCUGUUCAGUGGUUCUUUGCGACCCUUUGGACUGUGGCCCCCCAGGCUCCAAUGUCCAUGGGGUUUCCAGGCAAAAAUACUGCAGUGGUGCCAUUUGCUACGCCAGGGGAUCUUACUCGUCCAGAGACCAGACUCAAGUGCCCGGAAUGUGUUGCACUGCAGGCAUAUUUUUUACUGCUCAGCCACCCUGACAACGUGUACACUUCACCCUGAAGAAAUAAAGGGCAUCUGAACUCUCAUGUGGCCUCCUGCCUGUUUCUGUGCCGACUUCCUUCUCCUGGAGGGCUGAGACGCCAGGCAGGGGCAGACCAGGGAAGGGCCAGAUUGUAACCAAGCAGGACCCACUGGGGCUUUCCCAGAAGAAACCCCCAGUCAAGUCCUCCACCAGCCUUUUGUCUGUAGAAAAUGUUUCACCAAAUAAUCCACUUAGGGGCUUCCCUGGUGGUCUGGUGGCUAGGACUCCACCAGUCAAAUUCAUGGGCUGAAGGUAGGAUCCAGGUCGGGGAACAAAGAUCCCUCAUGCCUUCUGGCAUGAGGAUGGGGGAAAACAAAGAAUAAAUUUCAUCAGAGCAGUGAGAAAAUCCUGAAGGGGAAAAUGUCAAAAAAGACAAUAAUACUGGAGCCAUCAAACAAAGUCAAGGACUUUUCUUCCUCAAGUCUCUUGGUAAUAUUCUGUGCCUUAUGUGUGAGCUAUUUUUCAGUUACUGGAACCCCCACCAGGCUGAACAAGUGAACUGCUGCCCACAGCAGGUAGACCCCAGACUGGCUGGAACAAGAAGGCUGACGCUGUGGCCUCCCCACUGCCUCAACACCAGCCAUGGCUCCAUAAACACUAAAGACUCCACAUACCCACUCCAGGCUGGCACUCAUGGUCUUGGGGGCACUAGGCCAAUGUGGCCCAUUUUUCCUAGCAAAGCAGUAAAGCUCUUUCUUUCUACCUCACCCAAACUUCUUUCUUACAGACUUCACUCUGCCUUGGUGUACAGAGGCUGAAUUUGGGUAACAAAUUUGGAGUCCCGUGUGGGGUUGGCUUAGGGGUGACCCCCUGGGUGUCCCCUGGCUCCAUCACACUCUCUAGAUUUUUCCUCCAUGCAGCCUCUUUCCAGAAGGUUGGAACGCUGGGAAGAUUCCUUCAGAGGCCUGAUCCCCAAGGACCCGUGUCAAGAAGGCUGAGCCGCAGUCAUACUCGGUCCACCAAGCAGGCAGUGGGGACUCCAAGGCGGUAGAGGAGGGAAGAGGAAGGGCCGCCCUAGAGGGUGGGGAGGCCACCUUCACCUCAAGGAUGUUCCUGUCUUCCUCCAGCCCACACCAGCUUGAAUUUUGCUGCUCCAAGGAAAUAUUUUGAGGAAGGAGAAAGACAACAUCUGGGACAUCGAGACAUCUCGACCAGCAUCUGGGUAUUAAUCCAAACACAGCCCACAUUGCCUGCGUUUCAGCCUUGGCUUAUUUAGAAGAACUGAAACCGAGCCGGGAGACGGGUGGAAGGAGGAAAGAAAAAGAAGCCUUUGACCUUGAGUGUGAACAUUUGAUGGUUCUCAUCAACUGACAAGUUUAAUUGCAGUGCCUCAUUCAUGAAAUGUAAAAUGACGAAACAGAUCUCUGCUCGUGUGUAUGUCUCCAACACAAUUUUCCUGGAAUAUGAGCUGCCUUGGAGAACAGAUGAACUUAGAGAUGCUUAACUCUGAGCAGCCUUAUCAGGUAAAUAAAAAUGACUGUCUCCUGACAUUUGCAAUAACCUUCAUAUUUUGGGGCCCUUACGAAGAGAGAAAUCCACAAGCAAAAUCAAAUGGCAGGAUUUGGGCCUGGACUUCCUGAGGUUAGAAUGGUGUUGGUUCCUGUCUUCUGGAAUUCAGUCUGAGACUCUUUUUUGUACAUAUGGUUUUAUGAUUUACUUAUUUACUCAUUCUUGGAGGCUGGUCUUUGACGUAGCACACAGGCUCUUCAUUGCUAGUGCGGGCUUUCUCUAGUUGCAACACUAACUGUGAGCGAGACAAUUCCAGCUCUAGCCUCACAGCAAGGACCACUGGGACACCGCAUAUUUAUCACAUGGAAACACUUGACAACUCAUCUUGCUUGUUGCCCUCUAAAAUAGGAGGACUCUUUUGAAAAAUAUUGCAAAUCAUUAAUCAUUAUUCUCAUUGUAAUAUGCUUUCAUAUUUUUCAAAUGUUUGUCCAGGGGCUAGGACAAGGUUAUCAAAGAGACAAAUAAUAUUUCCUUAACACCAACUGUUGAUGCUAACAAAACUUGGAACUUGAGAUUAUUUCCAGCUCUUGUGUCCUUUCCUCAAAUCAGAUAGGUUGACUCCCCUUGGAAUUGUAGCCCAGAAGGAACUCAUGAUGCCUUCGUAGAUCCCCACCCAUGUGCACCUGCCUUUCAUCUAUGAACAACAACUUUAGUCAAGAAUGUCUUUAAUCAUAGAAGUGAGAAAAUGCAGAAAGAAAGGAAACUGUCAAAGAAGUCAAUAUAAUAAUAUCAUAGCUAUUAAACAAACUCAUGGACUGUUAGUUCUGCGUCAAGGGCUAUCGAUAAUAUUCAGAGCCAGGACCUUUGACCCCUUUCACAGAAUCUGAAACCUGUGCCAGAUGGAAGAAGUGAACGAUGCCACCCACAAGCAGGAAGACCUGAGACCGGCUGGAAGCACAAGGGUGAUGCUGCUACUCCCAGAGACCUCACCACAGACCCAACAGAAGAGCAUCCUCAAGUUGAUCAAGCUCUACUCCUUGAACACUAUAAGACUCCUCAAACCCCUCCACCAGACACACGGCCUUUUAUUUAAUAUUUUAUGUAUCUAUUUA